rnacentral:rRNA from 2 species
AGUCUGAUGGAGCAACGCCGCGUUGAGUGAAGAAGGCUUUCGGGUCGUAAAACUCUGUUGUUGGAGAAGAAUGGUCGGCAGAGUAACUGUUGUCGGCGUGACGGUAUCCAACCAGAAAGCCACGGCUAACUACGUGCCAGCAGCCGCGGUAAUACGUAGGUGGCAAGCGUUAUCCGGAUUUAUUGGGCGUAAAGCGAGCGCAGGCGGUUUUUUAAGUCUGAUGUGAAAGCCCUCGGCUUAACCGAGGAAGUGCAUCGGAAACUGGGAAACUUGAGUGCAGAAGAGGACAGUGGAACUCCAUGUGUAGCGGUGAAAUGCGUAGAUAUAUGGAAGAACACCAGUGGCGAAGGCGGCUGUCUGGUCUGUAACUGACGCUGAGGCUCGAAAGCAUGGGUAGCGAACAGGAUUAGAUACCCUGGUAGUCCAUGCCGUAAACGAUGAAUGCUAGGUGUUGGAGGGUUUCCGCCCUUCAGUGCCGCAGCUAACGCAUUAAGCAUUCCGCCUGGGGAUUACGACCGCAAGGUUGAAACUCAAAGGAAUUGACGGGGGCCCGCACAAGCGGUGGAGCAUGUGGUUUAAUUCGAAGCAACGCGAAGAACCUUACCAGGUCUUGACAUCUUUUGAUCACCUGAGAGAUCAGGUUUCCCCUUCGGGGGCAAAAUGACAGGUGGUGCAUGG